AAUGAACGUUGGCGGCGUGGAUUAGGCAUGCAAGUCGAGCGCGAACCCCGCAAGGGGUGAAAGCGGCGAAAGGGAGAGUAACGCGUGGGUAUCUGCCCUCGGGACUGGGAUCGCUGCGGGAAACUGCAGGUAAUACCAGAUGACGUCCCCGGACCAAAGGUGUGAUUCCGCCUGAGGAUGAGCCCGCGUCCUAUUAGCUGGUUGGUAGGGGAAUGGCCUACCAAGGCAAUGAUGGGUACUGGGUGUGAGAGCACGACCCAGCGCACUGGGAAUGAGACACUGCCCAGACACCUACGGGUGGCUGCAGUCGAGAAUCUUCGGCAAUGGGCGAAAGCCUGACCGAGCGACGCCGCGUGUGGGAUGAAGGCCUUCGGGUUGUAAACCGCUGUCAGAGGGGAGGAAUGGGCGGAGGGUAAUCUCUUCGUUUUGACCUAUCCUCAGAGGAAGUACGGGCUAAGUUCGUGCCAGCCGCCGCGGUAA
rnacentral:rRNA from 1 species